rnacentral:rRNA from 1 species
AUUGAACGCUGGCGGCAGGCUUAACACAUGCAAGUCGAGCGGGGGAAGUUGCUUCGGUAAUUGACCUAGCGGCGGACGGGUGAGUAAUACUUAGGAAUCUGCCUAUUAAUGGGGGACAACAUCUCGAAAGGGUUGCUAAUACCGCAUACGCCCUACGGGGGAAAGCAGGGGAUCACUUGUGACCUUGCGUUAAUAGAUGAGCUUAAGUCGGAUUAGCUAGUUGGUGGGGUAAAGGCCUACCAAGGCGACGAUCUGUAGCGGGUCUGAGAGGAUGAUCCGCCACACUGGGACUGAGACACGGCCCAGACUCCUACGGGAGGCUGCAGUGGGGAAUAUUGGACAACGGGGGGAACCCUGAUCCAGCCAUGCCGCGUGUGUGAAGAAGGCCUUAUGGUUGUAAAGCACUUUAAGCGAGGAGGAGGCUCUUUUGGUUAAUACCCAAGAUGAGUGGACGUUACUCGCAGAAUAAGCACCGGCUAACUCUGUGCCAGCCGCCGCCGUAAGAC